rnacentral:rRNA from 1 species
AUUGAACGCUGGCGGCAGGCCUAACACAUGCAAGUCGAACGAGUGGCGGACGGGUGUGUAAUGUCGGGGACACUGCCUGAUGGAGGGGGAUAACUACUGGAAAAGGUAGCAAAUACCGAAUACUAUCAGAUGUGCCCAGAUGGGAUUAGCUAGUUGGUGGGGUAACGGCUCACCAAGGCGACGAUCCCUAGCUGGUCUGCGAGGAUGACCAGCCACACUGGACCUGAGACACGGUCCAGACUCCUACGGGAGGCAGCAGUGGGGAAUAUUGCACAAUGGGCGCAAGCCUGAUGCGGCCAUGCCGCGUGUAUGAAGAAGGCCUUCGGGUUGUAAAGUACUUUCAGCGGGGAGGCGUUACCCGCAGAAGAAGCACCGGCUAACUCCGUGCCAGCAGCCGCGGUAAUAC